rnacentral:tRNA from 1 species
AGUUAAAUAGCUUAUUGAAAAGCAUGUGUUUUGAAAACACAAGACAGGGGUUUAAAUCUCCUAUUAACUU